GGUUCAAUAAAAUCAAGGGCUUACGGACUUAGACAAAUUGGCUUUUAACCAAUUGGUCGAAGGUUCGAAUCCUUCACGACCCACCA
rnacentral:tRNA from 1 species